AGUGAACGCUGGCGGCAGGCCUAAUACAUGCAAGUCGAACGGCAGCACAGUGGAGCUUGCUCCAUGGGUGGCGAGUGGCGGACGGGUGAGGAAUACAUGGGAAUCUGCCCAGUCGUGGGGAUAACGUAUGGAAACGUACGCUAAUACCGCAUGCGCCCUUCGGGGGAAAGUCGGGGACCGCAAGGCCUGACGCGAUUGGAUGAGCCCAUGUUCGAUUAGCUAGUUGGCGGGGUAACGGCCCACCAAGGCGACGAUCGAUAGCUGGUCUGAGAGGAUGAUCAGCCACACUGGAACUGAGACACGGUCCAGACUCCUACGGGAGGCAGCAGUAGGGAAUAUUGGACAAUGGGCGCAAGCCUGAUCCAGCCAUGCCGCGUGAGUGAAGAAGGCCCUCGGGUUGUAAAGCUCUUUGUUGGGGAAGAAAGCAGUUGGUUAAUACCCGAUUG
rnacentral:rRNA from 1 species